UUGCAUCUAUUGACAGACCUGAAGCAGUUACUGUGGCUUUCCAGGUUUUUUAACAGUUUGGUGCAAGAUUAAUUUCCUCGCGCUUUCUGAUUGAUCUCAUAGCAAUUCAGAUUGAAUAGAGGAAUACAUAU